UUCUCUUUGAUUCAGAGUAAAAUCAAGUUCUUUACCUAUGGAGGAGGUAGAUACUGAUGGAGUGGAUGACAAGGUGUUCUCUAGAUUCUGCAUCAUCUCCAUAUUCUGCAUCAUUAGUGAGCAACUUACCUAGGGAGGAGGUAGAUACUGACAGAGUGUAUGAGCAGGUAGUUCUCCAAGUUUCUUUAUACUACCAGCCCACUCUAUAUUUGACUAUGCUCUAAUAUGUCAAAUCAUGAAAUGAUAUGAAUAAUUAAAUAUUAGCAGAUGGACAAAACGUGUAUUGAUGGUCUGAUGUACCAAGUGUUUUUAUCCACAGUGAAUAAAAUAGAGGAGUGGCCUGUUCACCGGAGCAAGCGAGGAAGAUAGCUCAGCCCGACCACCAACGUCCACUCACCGGUUUCUU
rnacentral:lncRNA from 1 species